GGAAGAUAAAAAGAAACUUCAAUAGAGAUGAAUUUAUUUGCAAAACAAGCAUUAGAGUUGGGCAAUUUGUUAUGCUCCUGGAUUUAAUGUUGUGAAUUGGACAAUUUGUUAUUUUACAAUGUUUAGGUGAACUGGUGGUUGCAUACAUUCUUUAACCAAGAUAAUUUGAAAGAGGAUGCUACAAUUGUUACUGUCCGGAAUUUUAAGAAAAAACAUGAAGCUGGUGUUGCAAUCUCCCAAUUCAUUUGGAUUUGGUGGACACAAUUUUUAACAUUUCUGGAUGCAGUGAAUAUGGAACAUUUGUUUAUAUGGAUUUUAUCUAAGGAAUUAGAAACAUCUCAUUGAUAUGAGUGGAUAUGAAAACAUCUCAUUUAAUUUAGUGGGUAUCAUGUUCCAACAAUAACUUAGAAGGAUGAAUUAA